rnacentral:rRNA from 1 species
GACGAACGCUGGCGGCGUGCUUAACACAUGCAAGUCGAACGGAAAGGCCCGGCUUUUGUGGGGUGCUCGAGUGGCCGACGGGUGAGUAACACGUGAGUAACCUGCAAUUGCCUUUGGGAUAACUUAAGGAAACUGGGGCUACUACCGGAUAGGAGCUACUGCUGCAGGGUGGGGGUGGGAAAGUUUCGGCGGUUGGGGAUGGACUCGCGGCUUAUCAGGUUGUUGGGGUGGUAGUGGCAUAGCAAGGCUUGGACGGGUAGCCGGCCUGAGAGGGUCAGCGGACCCGUUGGGACGGAGCUGCGGCCCGGACCCCUAUGGGAGGCAGCGGUGGAGAAUAUUAUAUUAGAGGCGGAAGCAUGAUGCAGCACAGCCGCGUCGGGGAUGUCGUCCUUCGGGUAGUAAACCGCUUUUGUCUUUCCCGAGGCGUGAGUGACGGUACUGGGUGAAGAAGCACCGGCUAACUCCGUG